CAGCAGAGCUCCGACCUUCGGGGACGAGCGCUUUUAUUAGACCAAAACCAAUCGGACCUCGUGUCCGUCCUUUGUGGUGACUCUGUAUAACUUUGGGCUGAUCGCACGGGCCUGUCCCGGCGACGUAUCUUUCAAGUGUCUGCCUUAUCAACUUUCGAUGGUAGGUUACGCGCCUACCAUGGUCGUAACGGGUAACGGGGAAUCAGGGUUCGAUUCCGGAGAGGGAGCCUGAGAAACGGCUACCACAUCCAAGGAAGGCAGCAGGCGCGCAAAUUACCCACUCCCAGAACGGGGAGGUAGUGACGAAAAAUAACAAUACGGGACUCUUUUGAGACCCCGUAAUUGGAAUGAGUACACUCUAAAUCCUUUAACGAGGAUCCAUUGGAGGGUAAGUCUGGUGCCAGCAACCGCGGUAAUUCCAGCUCCAAUAGCGUAUAUUAAAGUUGUUGCGGUUAAAAAGCUCGUAGUUGGAUCUCAGUUCCAGACGGGUGGUCCUCCUACCGGUGGUUACUGCCUGUUCUGAACAGUCAGCCGGUUUCUCUUGAUGAUCUUCACCGGUUGUCUUGGGUGACCGGCAAGUUUACUUUGAAAAAAUUAGAGUGCUCAAAGCAGGCGUGACGCCUGAAUAAUGGUGCAUGGAAUAAUGGAAUAGGACCUCGGUUCUAUUUUGUUGGUUUUCGGAACACGAGGUAAUGAUUAAGAGGGACAGACGGGGGCAUUCGUAUUGCGACGCUAGAGGUGAAAUUCUUGGACCGUCGCAAGACGAACUACUGCGAAAGCAUUUGCCAAGAAUGUUUCCAUUAAUCAAGAACGAAAGUUAGAGGUUCGA
rnacentral:rRNA from 1 species